AUUGAACGCUGGCGGCAGGCCUAACACAUGCAAGUCGAACGGUAACAGGAAGAAGCUUGCUUCUUUGCUGACGAGUGGCGGACGGGUGAGUAAUGUCUGGGAAACUGCCUGAUGGAGGGGGAUAACUACUGGAAACGGUAGCUAAUACCGCAUAACGUCGCAAGACCAAAGAGGGGGACCUUCGGGCCUCUUGCCAUCGGAUGUGCCCAGAUGGGAUUAGCUAGUAGGUGGGGUAACGGCUCACCUAGGCGACGAUCCCUAGCUGGUCUGAGAGGAUGACCAGCCACACUGGAACUGAGACACGGUCCAGACUCCUACGGGAGGCAGCAGUGGGGAAUAUUGCACAAAGGGCGCAAGCCUGAUGCAGCCAUGCCGCGUGUAUGAAGAAGGCCUUCGGGUUGUAAAGUACUUUCGGCGGGGAGGAAGGGAGUAAAGUUAAUACCUUUGCUCAUUGACGUUACCCGCAGAAGAAGCACCGGCUAACUCCGUG
rnacentral:rRNA from 1 species